AGUGAACGCUGGCGGUAGGCCUAACACAUGCAAGUCGAACGGCAGCACAGUAAGAGCUUGCUCUUACGGGUGGCGAGUGGCGGACGGGUGAGGAAUACAUCGGAAUCUACUUUUUCGUGGGGGAUAACGUAGGGAAACUUACGCUAAUACCGCAUACGACCUACGGGUGAAAGCAGGGGAUCUUCGGACCUUGCGCGAUUGAAUGAGCCGAUGUCGGAUUAGCUAGUUGGCGGGGUAAAGGCCCACCAAGGCGACGAUCCGUAGCUGGUCUGAGAGGAUGAUCAGCCACACUGGAACUGAGACACGGUCCAGACUCCUACGGGAGGCAGCAGUGGGGAAUAUUGGACAAUGGGCGCAAGCCUGAUCCAGCCAUACCGCGUGGGUGAAGAAGGCCUUCGGGUUGUAAAGCCCUUUUGUUGGGAAAGAAAGGCAGCAGGUUAAUACCCCGCUGUUCUGACGGUACCCAAAGAAUAGGCACCGGCUAACUUCGUG
rnacentral:rRNA from 1 species